UUUUCUUUUCUUUUUUUCCGUCUUCUCUCUCUGAGAAAGAGAAUAACUAAACUCCAUUAGAGUUACAGGGAAGUUUUCUUCUCUUCUCCAUACUUCAACUCCAAGAACACCACCAGUUACACUUACAAGUUACAUCACCUCUCGAUCCAGAAGAAGAAGAAGAAAAAAUCAGUGAUUGUGUUUCUACUGGUAAGUUAUCUCGCCAAGGAGAAGAUGAAGGGAAAAGAUUCAAGGAACAAUCCAACUCAGAAAUUGUUAACCAAGGCGGUACUUGGUCCUAUCAACAAUAAUGCCACCACCAGUGCUGCUGUCAUGGAAUAGAUUUUCAAGACUUUGUUUUUGCCUUUUGCCACCGGUGCUAGUGUGCUACUGCUACUUGUUAGAUUAGUUGUUACUUUGCUACUUGUUACAUACUGCCAGUCUUUGACUCUUUUGCUACUUGUUACUUUUUCAAUUUUCAAGACUUGGUAUUUGAGACUUUUCUUUGCUGGUAUUAAUUUUAUUGCUACUUGUUGUCA